rnacentral:rRNA from 1 species
AACGAACGCUGGCGGCGCGUUUUAAACAUGCAAGUCGAACGAGAACCCCGGUGCUUGCAUUGGGGGGAAAGUGGCGAACGGGUGAGUAACACGUGGAUAAUCUGCCUUCAGGAUUGGGAUAACUAUCUGAAAGGAUGGCUAAUACCGAAUAACAUGGCGAUAACAUAAGUUGAUGCCAUUAAAGGUGGGGACCGCAAGGCCUACUGUCUGAAGAUGAGUCCGCGGCCCAUUAGCUAGUUGGUAGGGUAAUGGCCUACCAAGGCUACGAUGGGUAGCCGGCCUGAGAGGGUGUACGGCCACAUUGGGACUGAGAUACGGCCCAGACUCCUACGGGAGGCAG